rnacentral:rRNA from 1 species
GACGAACGCUGGCGGCGUGCCUAAUACAUGCAAGUAGAACGCUGAAGAGAGGAGCUUGCUCUUCUUGGAUGAGUUGCGAACGGGUGAGUAACGCGUAGGUAACCUGCCUUGUAGCGGGGGAUAACUAUUGGAAACGAUAGCUAAUACCGCAUAACAAUGGAUGACACAUGUCAUUUAUUUGAAAGGGGCAAUUGCUCCACUACAAGAUGGACCUGCGUUGUAUUAGCUAGUAGGUGAGGUAAUGGCUCACCUAGGCGACGAUACAUAGCCGAACUGAGAGGGUGAUCGGCCACACUGGGACUGAGACACGGCCCAGACUCCUACGGGAGGCAGCAGUAGGGAAUCUUCGGCAAUGGGGGCAACCCUGACCGAGCCACGCCGCGUGAGUGAAGAAGGUUUUCGGAUCGUAAAGCUCUGUUGUAAGUCAAGAACGGGUGUGAGAGUGGAAAGUUCACACUGUGACGGUAGCUUACCAGAAAGGGACGGCUAACUACGUG